rnacentral:lncRNA from 1 species
UUAGGGCUAGGGCUUGAAUGUUAUUGAUAGAUGUAAAUUUUUGUUUUAAAGAGGUUUUUUUUUUUUUUGUAUUAAAAAUUGAAUGUGGUAUAUUUAGGGCUUGAAUGUUAUUGAUGUAAUUUUUUGUUUGAAACUGUUUACUUUUGUAUAAAAAAUUGAAUGUGGUAUAUUUAGGACUUGAAUGUUAUUGAUGUAAAUUUUUGUUUGAAACUGUUUACUUUUGUAUAAAAAAUUGAAUGUAGUAUCUUUAGGGCUUGAAUGUGUCGCCUUAGCAAAGAUGGGACUCAUUGUGAAGUUAGUUGUAUAAAAAAUUGACUAGCCCGUUACAGAGAGAAUGUUGGGAUUAUAUAGUU